UCGAGGUGUAGCGCAGUUUGGUAGCGCACAUGGUUUGGGACCAUGGGGCCGGGGGUUCGAGUCCNAUGGCUCGUU
rnacentral:tRNA from 1 species